UACGUAGGGGGCAAGCGUUGUCCGGAUUUAUUGGGCGUAAAGAGCGUGUAGGCGGCCAGGUAGGUCUGCUGUGAAAACUCGAGGCUCAACCUCGAGAUGUCGGCGGAAACCAUCUGGCUAGAGUCCGGAAGAGGAGAAUGGAAUUCCCGGUGUAGCGGUGAAAUGCGCAGAUAUCAGGAAGAACACCCGUGGCGAAGGCGGCUCUCUGGGACGGUACUGACGCUGAGGAGCGAAAGCGUGGGGAGCGAACAGG
rnacentral:rRNA from 1 species